GCUUCAUGAGAUGCUUAUUGCACCACAUGUGUUUUUCUUUGAAACAAACUUGCUUUGGCGGUGGGCCCAGCCUGCCGCCAGAGGUCUAAACUUACAACCAAUUUUUUAUCAACUUGUCACACCAGAUUAUUACUUAAUAGUCAAAACUUUCAACAACGGAUCUCUUGGUUCUCGCAUCGAUGAAGAACGCAGCGAAAUGCGAUACGUAAUAUGAAUUGCAGAUAUUCGUGAAUCAUCGAAUCUUUGAACGCACAUUGCGCCCUCUGGUAUUCCGGAGGGCAUGCCUGUUUGAGCGUCGUUUCUCCCUCAAACCGCUGGGUUUGGUGUUGAGCAAUACGACUUGGGUUUGCUUGAAAGACGGUAGUGGUAAGGCGGGAUCGCUUUGACAAUGGCUUAGGUCUAACCAAAAACAUUGCUUGCGGCGGUAACGUCCACCACGUAUAUCUUCAAACUUUGACCUCAAAUCAGGUAGGACUACCCGCUGAACUUAAGCAUAUCAAAAGCGGGGAGGAA
rnacentral:rRNA from 1 species